CCUGGCAUGCUGCCUUGCGUGAAAGGAACAUUUUUCCGAAAGCAAGCUUCUUCUCCAAAAUUCGAAAUUUCCUUCCAAAAAAUGCCGUCCUCCUUGACCUCGAAGCUGAAUGUUGUUAGGAUAGAAAAUUAGCGAAGAUGUAGCCGACCCAUUCUGGCAAGCCGUGUGCCCUCUGGAUAUGCAGUUGUUCGCCAUGGUCAACAAUCUUCUUCUCCUUCGUUCGUACUUUCACUUUCCUGACCACGAAUACAAGCGGUACCCAUGCUCAGGAUUGUAGCCAAGGGUGAAUACCAUUAUCAUGAGCGAAGGUCUCUGAGAACCCAUGUCUGAAAGCUGGUCAUGUUGGCCCAACGCUGACUCUCAUUGUCUGUAUCCGCCACCUUCAUACUGGAAUGAACUGGAACAUGUUCACUCUCUGUUUCUCAUGUGGAAGGACGGAACAGAUUGUUUGUCUGUCUCUGUGGAUCACCGAAGGCUGAACAGUACAGUUGGAAGAAUAUUGGAUCUCACGAAGUGCCUGAAUCUGAAGCGGCUGACAUGCAUCUGCACAGCGCUGUCUUUCUGAGAUUUGCUUCAAGGCAGGUUAUUGUGUACAAUUUUGUCCACAGUAUUCCAAUAUUUGCCAAACGUAUUUCUCUGAUAGUAUUGCGACUACACACGCGCAAUGAUCUCUCCGUCAUCAGUCUUUCGCAAUGAUGUGGCUCACUGAUGACAGCAUGCAUAGCCAUAGAUCAAAUGAGCAGCUAAGGUAGUUGAAGCAGAAGAAUGGAUCAAUGCAUCCUGAACCUUGUGUACUGCCUAUAUGCACUCUCAGAAGUAUUUGUAACGUGUUAACUAUGAAGUAUCAACAUUGCUUCUCUUCUAUGUGGGUGGUGUGAGUGAUGUCAGAUGAUCUGUACUGCCAUGGCCGAUGGUGUUCACUGGAAGAUGUUGGGUUGGGCCAUUGAGCCCUCUUGCAAUAUGCUGUUGCAGCCUGAAGGCACUGAAAACGUUCGAAUGCUGAUCUGCUUUCAAGCGUAGAAUGUCCCAUUGUGUGCAUUACAUAUUUGCAUAAUUAUGUUUUGUACUGGAGUGUGAAUGUGCGGCAAGGGCGUGCACAUGUAAGUAUAUCGCACUGGAAACAGCCUAAGAGUUCACGUGGUAUGUGAUAAGUACACUUUUGGAAAGUGCGUGCACAGUCGAAUCAUGUAAUGUUAAAACAGCCUUCGUGCUCCUCCCUGAAUGGCUACGCAAGUAGAAAUC